UACGGGGGGUGCGAGCGUUAAUCGGAAUUACUGGGCGUAAAGUGUGCGCAGGUGGCCGCGCAAGUCGAGUGUGAAAUCCCCGAGCUUAACUUGGGAAUUGCGCUCGAAACUACGUGGCUCGAGUGUGGCAGAGGAAGGUGGAAUUCCACGUGUAGCGGUGAAAUGCGUAGAGAUGUGGAGGAACACCGAUGGCGAAGGCAGCCUUCUGGGCCAACACUGACGCUCAUGCACGAAAGCGUGGGGAGCAAACAGG
rnacentral:rRNA from 1 species